rnacentral:rRNA from 1 species
AGCGAACGCUGGCGGCAGGCCUAACACAUGCAAGUCGAACGAACUCUUCGGAGUUAGUGGCGGACGGGUGAGUAACACGUGGGAACGUGCCCUUUGGUACGGGAUAACUCAGGGAAACUUGAGCUAAUACCGUAUGUGCCCUUCGGGGGAAAGAUUUAUCGCCAUUGGAGCGGCCCGCGUCUGAUUAGCUAGUUGGUGAGGUAAAGGCUCACCAAGGCUACGAUCAGUAGCUGGUCUGAGAGGAUGAUCAGCCACAUUGGGACUGAGACACGGCCCAAACUCCUACGGGAGGCAGCAGUGGGGAAUCUUGCGCAAUGGGCGAAAGCCUGACGCAGCCAUGCCGCGUGAAUGAUGAAGGUCUUAGGAUUGUAAAAUUCUUUCACCGGGGACGAUAAUGACGGUACCCGGAGAAGAAGCCCCGGCUAACUUCGUG